rnacentral:lncRNA from 1 species
GAUAGUGACCUACAAAGGAAAUAAAGUGAAAGAAGAAUUCAAUGAGGCCCAUGUAUUAACUCGUUCGGGGAGAUGCUUUGCCCCAGAAAAGUUAAGGAAAGCUAAAACCUCCAGAGAUAACCCAGUUCUAGUGAAAAAAGCAGUGACUGAAGAAGAGACGCAGGAGUUUCUGAGAAAAAUGAAGGUACAAGACUAUUCCAUCGUAGAGAAAUUGAGAAAGACACCUGCUCAAAUUUCACUAUUGUCAUUGUUAAUCCACUCAGACGAGCAUCGUCGGGCCUUGAUGAAAAUUUUGAACGAGGCUCAUGUUCCCGACAAAAUUUUAGUAAACCAUCUGGAAAAGAUCGCCAACAAAAUAUUUGAGGUGAACAGGGUUACUUUCUCUGAUGAUGAGUUGCCCGUGGAAGGUACUGAACACAACACAACUCUCUAUCUUACGGUAAAAUAUGAAGAUUCUAUGGUUACCAAGGUAUUUGUUGACAAUGGUUCCAAUGCAAACAUUUGCCCUGUCUCUACUCUGAACAAGUUGAAAGUGGAUGAUGAGAGGAUUCACAAGAACAUCAUUUGCGUUCGGGGAUUUGACGGUGGAGGGAAAGAUUCAGUUGGUGAUAUAGUGCUUGAGUUGAUAAUAGGACCGGUGGAAUUCACCAUGGAGUUCCAGGUGCUGGACGUAACCAUUUCUUACAAUUUGAUGUUAGGUCGACCUUGGAUUCAUGCCGCCAAAGCAGUCUCGUCCACUCUGCACCAGAUGGUCAAGUUCGAAUGGGAUAGACAAGAGAUCGUCGUGCAUGGUGAAGAUAACUUGUGUGCUCAUAGUGAUGCCUCUAUCUCGUUCAUUGAGGUUGAAGACGACAAAGGGCCUUGGGUCUAUCAAGUUUUUGAAACAGUGCCGGUGGAGAAGGUUCCAGAAGGGAAAUGUGUUCCAACCCCAAAGAUAACCUCCGCAUCAGUCAUGGUGGCCUUUGAAAUGCUGAAAAAUGGCUUUGUGCAUGGUAAGGGUCUGGGUGCAUCUCUACAGGGUAUCAUAUAGGUGGUGUCCCUCCCUAAAAACUUGGGUACAUUUGGUCUAGGAUUCAAAUCCACAGCCACAGAUAUGAAAAGGGCUAGAAAGUUGAAACAGAGGGCAUGGGCACUUACAAAUCCUAUCCCACGUCUCUCCAGGUCGUUUGUUAAGCCCGGUGUCAGGAAAUGCCCAGUGAUAACAGUUCCAAGUUCUAUGGUUGACAUUGAUAAAGAGUUAAUUGAAAGGUUCGAGAGGUUGUUCGACGAUGUGAACAUGGUGGAAAUUGGAGAAGGUUCUAGCAAAGCAGAUGUGUAGCUUGUCGGGCCGAAUACAAAGCUUAACAAUUGGGAGGCUACUGCUCUCCCUACUUGGAAGGAGUUUUGGUAGUUUGCUUUGAUUUUCUUUCAGUUUACCUAGAUUAUUGCAGGGUUGUAAUUCAGAUUUUAUGUUUCGUCCAUUUGGAUGUAUAAACCCUGUUAUCUUUUAUUUUUAAUGAAAUGCAAUUUCCCUUUUCCAUCGUUCCUGAUAGUUUUAUUUUUGUUUUUUCUUUUCUUCCCUGUACAGUUCUUUUUAUGCUGGUUUCAAUGACAUGACAUGCAUGAGGAAUCUUCGGCCCAGUCUUAAAAGUCAAUCUAAUUCUGAAAUAAUAAUUCAAGAAAUAUAGUGUAAUGAUGAAUCAGAAUAUGAUGAGGAUGAGGCCUUUGAAGAGAUUAGUAAGGAAUUAAAUUAUUUUGAAAAAAACCCCAAGCCUAGCCUGAAUGAUAUGGAAGCAAUCAAUUUAGAGGACCCAGAUAAUAUCAGAGAAACUAAGAUAAGUGUCCAUCUUGAACUGCAAAUCAGGGAAGAGAUAAUUAAAACAUUGUUUGAAUACAAAGAUAUUUUUUCAUGGUCAUAUGAUGACAUGCCAGGUCUAAGGACUGACUUGGUGGUUGACAAAUUGCCCACUAACCCGGCAUUUCCUCCCGUCAAACAGAAGUUGACAAAAUUCAAAACUGACAUGAGUGUAAAGAUUAAAGAGGAGGUCACAAAGCUGUUUGAUGCAAAGGUUAUUCGGGUCACGCGGUAUCCCACGUGGUUAGCCAAUGUUGUACCUAUGCCAAAGAAAGAUGGUAAGGCCACAAUGUGUGUUGAUUACCGUGAUCUCAACAAGGCAAGUCCAAAGGACAACUUCCCACUACCAAAUAUCCAUAUUUUAAUCGAUAAUUGUGCACAUGAGAUUGGGUCUUUCGUGGAUUGCUAUGCGGGGUAUCAUUAGAUUUUAAUGGACGAGGAGGAUGUAGAAAAGAUGGCAUUCAUCACACUAUGGGGAACAUACUACUACCAGGUCAUGCCUUUUGGUCUGAAAAUUGUUGGGGCAACGUACAUGAGGGCAAUGACAACCGUAUUCCACGACAUGAUACACAAGGAGAUUGAGGUUUACGUGGAUGAUGUGAUCAUAAAGUCCAGAAAGCAGUCUGACCAUGUCAGAGAAUUGAGAAAGUUUUUCCAAAGGCUUCGUAGGUACAAUCUUAAGCUCAAUCCUGCAAAGUGCGCAUUUGGCAUUCCAUCAGGGAAACUAUUGGGGUUCAUAGUCAGCUGGCGGGGCAUUAAGUUGGAUCCGUGAAAGAUCAAAGCUAUCCAGGAAUUUCCACCGCCGAGGAACAAGACUGAGGUGAUGAGUCUGUUAGGGAGGCUAAACUACAUCAGCAGGCUUAUUGCUCAGCUCACGACAACUUGUGAGUCUAUCUUUAGGUUGCUGAAGAAGGAUGCUACGGUCAAGUGGACUGAUGAGUGUCAGGAAGCAUUCGAUAAGAUAAAAGCGUACUUGUCAAACCCACCUAUGUUGGUCCCACCAGAAUCGGGAAGACCUUUGAUUUUGUAUUUGACGGUCUUAGAUAAUUCAUUUGGUUGUGUGUUGGGCCAGCAUGACAUCACUGGCAGGAAGGAGCAAGUCAUCUACUAUCUCAGCAAGAAGUUCAUAUCUUAUGAGGUUCAGUACACUCACCUUGAAAGGACAUGAUGCGCCCUAACUUGGGUAGCACAGAAGUUAAAGCAUUAUUUGUCAUCUUGCACUACUUACCUCAUUUCUCGUCUGGAUCCAUUAAAGUAUAUCUUUCAGAAGCCUAUGCCUACAGGGAGACUUGCGAAGUGGCAGAUUUUGCUCAUGGAGUUUGACAUUAUCUAUGUGACUCGAACUGUGAUAAAAUCCCAAGCAUUGGUUGAUCAUUUGGCCGAGACCCCGGUAGAUAAAGAAUAUGAACCGUUGAGAACUUAUUUUCCCGAUGAAGAGGUGAUGCAUAUUGAUGAGCUGGAGUAGACUAAAAAAUCAGGUUGGAAACUUUUCAUUGAUGGGGCUGCAAACAUGAAAGGAGUCGGAAUAAGGGUCGUGCUUAUUUCUGAAAUAGGGCAUCACUACCCUAUUACGGCUCAGUUUUGUUUCUAUUGUGCCAACAACAUGGCUGAGUACGAGGCAUGCAUUUUGGGUUUGAGGUUAGCUGUAGACAUGGGUGUCCAGGAAGUCUUGGUCUUGGGAGACUCGGACCUUCUGGUGCACCAGAUUCAAGGAGAAUGGGAAACACGGGAUCUAAAUUUCAUACCGUAUCGACAAUGUUUGCAUAAUCUUUGUCAACGGUUUCGAUCAGUAGAGUUCAGGCAUAUUCCAAGGAUCUAUAAUGAUGUUGCUGAUGCUUUGGCUGCCUUGGUGUCAAUGUUGCACCAUCCGGACAAAGCUUNNNNNNNNNNNNNNNNNNNNNNNNNNNNNNNNNNNNNNNNNNNNNNNNNNNNNNNNNNNNNNNNNNNNNNNNNNNNNNNNNNNNNNNNNNNNNNNNNNNNNNNNNNNNNNNNNNNNNNNNNNNNNNNNNNNNNNNNNNNNNNNGAAAAGUUGCCCUUUGCAUUGUUGGGUUAUCGCACUAUUGUUCGUACUUCAGUAGGCGAAACUCCUUACUUGUUUGUAUAUGGCACAGAAGCAGUGAUACCCUCGGAAGUUGAAAUUCCAUCCCUUCGGAUUGUUGCAGAAGCCGAGAUUGAUGAUGAUGUGUGGGUCAAAACCCAUCUGGAGCAACUGAGUUUGAUUGAUGAGAAGAGAUUAGCAGCAGUGUGUCAUGGCCAGUUGUAUCAAAAGAGGAUGGAAAGAGCGUACAACAAGAAGGUACAUCCCCGGAAAUUUGAAGUGGGUCAGCAAGUAUUGAAAUGCAUCCUUCCACAUCAGGCUGAAGCAAAAGGUAAGUUCGUCCCAAAUUGGCAGGGGUCGUUCAUUGUAACAUUUGAGUGUUGUCCAAUGGUGCUUUGUAUUUAACAGAUAUAGAAGGCAAAUAUGUAGAUAUGGCUAUCAAUUCUGAUGCAGUCAAAAGAUAUUAUGCAUGAUUUCUGUUGUUUAAAUUGUGUUUGUUUGUACUUAGCGUGUUUUGAAGAUUGGAAUGAUGAAGGCAAUUUGUUCUGCUAUCUAAACACUUUAUCCUUUGUUACCCCUUUGCCUUAUUUAUUUCCUUUCAUACCCCUCUUUUGGAAUCAGUAGCAAAGUUCAGAAACGCGAGCGCAAAAGAUAAGUAAAGGAAAAGAGAGAAAAGAGCAAGAAAAGAAUGAAAAAGAGUGGAAAAAAAAAGAAAGAAGAAGAAAAAAACAACAAAAAGGGAAAAGAUAAAAAGAAAAAGAAGAGAAAAGAAAAAUAAAAGAGAAAAAUCACAACAACAAAGUAAUUUCUAUGACAUGAACUACGUUCAACCUGAUUCCUUUUAAGGAUAUGUAGGCAGCCUCACGGUUCGGUCCCAUCAAAAUAAAAAUUCAAAAGUCCCCAAGCAAAGAAACUGAGGUAGAAAGUUGUGGUUGUUCUAUGAAAUCUGAUUCCAAAAGUUGUAAUUUUGAACCCAUUUGAAUUGUUUUGAGCCUUUUGAUAUCAUUUCUUCCUAACCCUAUCCAAAAGCCCACAUUACGGUCCAAAGAAAGACCUUCCGAUCAGUCUUCGAGAGAUGCCAAGUCAAGCAAGUGGAGGUGAUUCAUAUCAGAGGCAACACUCUGGUCUAAGCAGGAAAAAUAAAAAAAAUGAGAGAGUCUUAUUAGUGAAAACCCUCACGGGCACCGUAAGGCGAUGGAAAUCUGAGAGAAAUUUAAAAAAAAUGAGAGAGUCUUAUUAGUGAAAACCUUCACAGCACCGAAAGGCGACAGUGAGUGGAGAGAUAAACAAAUGAGGGAGGUUUGUUGGUGAAAACUCUUCAGGGCAGCGCAAGCCGAACAAGGUUAGUGAUCUGGCGAAGAAAUCGGGUUAUGGAAAUCCUGGGGCAUAAAGUAUGACAACUGAAAAUUGAUUGGUUGGACAGAUUGAGCUGAUUAAUCCGAAAUGCAUGUCAUGAUCAUUGGUACCAGCUGCUCCACUCAGAUAAGUCUUUUUUCUUUUCCCUCUUUAAACAGUCAUCCAGUUUUGGAUUUUUCUUCCUUAUUCCUAACUCUCAAAGUCAUUGUAUUUUAUUUCUUUUGGGUUUAUUUCUCUAAGAUGUUUCCAAUGUCAGUUUUAUUUAAACAAAUAAGAAAGGAUUUCAAAGCACAUUAUCAACUUCCAAAUUGCACAAAGCAUAGUGCGUCCAGAGCAUGCCAGAGAUAGUAUGAUGUAAAGUGGGACAGAAAGUGGUAGUGAAAGUUCCAUCGGUGGGAUGGUGUAGUAAUUUUGUGGGAGAUUCAGAGGUUCAGAUAGAAGGGUCGGAAAUGUAAAAUGACGGUUUGAGUAUAGAGCACUUGGGUCAUCCAAAGUCCUGUGGUUGAGGAUCAGUCAGAAAGUCAAAACUUGGUCAGUUCAAGGCCGCCAGUCAAAGAAAAACACGGCAAGGGAAGAGCCACCUUCAGCAAGAAUGCCACAAACUAACCACCACAUUUUUAAACUAACAAGAUUUUUCUUUGAUUUGAAACAGGGGCAGAAAAUUUUGUUCGUUUCAUAGAAACCCUUCAUAAGGGAAAGGAAAUACCAAACAGGUUUGACCAUAAAUUCUUAGGACCCUCCUGGAUAAUGGGACCUAAUUUAAAUUCAGAACAUUCAUGAGUAACAAGAUCUAACAUAAGUCUUACCCCAAAGAAAUAAAGUUGGCUUUGAAGUUUUCAUCCUUAGGAUAGGAUUCAAUUCGAAAUUUUCAGGAUCCUCCUGAAUAAUGGGACCUAGCUUUAAGACUUCCAUUAGAUGACAAGAUUUAGCUUAAGUUCUACUGUAAGGAAGUAUAAUUUAGCGUUAAAGUUGUCACUCUUAAGAUGAGAUUUGGUUUUAACUUUCAGGACCCUCUUGGAAAAUGGAAUGUAGUUCUAAGACUUUCUUAGAUAACAAGAUUUAGCAGAAGUCAUAUCUUUAGAAGAUAUAAUUUAGCUUUAAAACUGUCAUUUUACUAGGAGUUUUUAGGACCUUUCUGAAUAAUGGGAUCUAGCUUUCAAAUUAUUAGAGAUAUUUGGUAACAUGAUUCAAUUAACACUCACAGAUGUGCCCAGCUACCAAACUGGGGCAAAAGCUUUUCUUUAUUUUGUCUACUUUGUUGAAAUAGGCACCCACCUGGAGAACAAAGGGAAAACAAAUCAAAUUCCAAGGAAAGCGGAUCAGGUUCAAGCAAUCAGGAGCCCACCUGGAGAACAAAGNNNNNNNNNNNNNNNNNNNAACAAAGGGAAGCAGUUCAAGUUUCGAGGAAAAGCAACGCAAGUCUCGGUAAUCAGGAGCCCACCUGGAGAAUGAAUGGAAACAACAAUGUUCAAAGGAAGUGCGGAAAUCAGGAGCCCACCUGGAGAACAAACGGAGAACAAGGAAAGUUUCGGAGGAAAGAAAGAGAAUCAAAUGUUGGAAAUCAGGAGCUCACCUGGAGAACAAAGGGAAGGUAACAGAGGUCAAAGGAAGACGGUUCAAGUUCAGCAAUCAAGCACUCACUUGGAGAAAAGGGAAAGCAUUUCAAAUUACAAUUCAAGUCAUCAACAAAGGAAUUUCACCUGGAGAGUACGAGUCAACAGAGCAAUAGGGAUUGCAAGAUCAAGUUUGAAGAUAUAGAUAGGAUUCUCGUAAUGCAUAGAUCAUAGUUUAGUCUAGAUUCUUUUAUUUUAUCUUGGUGUAAUAAGGAGUUCAGUAAGCAGUAGCAGCAGCAGCAACAGUGAAAUCUCAGCUUCCUGGUAGUCCCAACUACCGAAACUUUCUGAACUACACCGACCUGAUUCCUUUAUAGCCAAGAGUAUGUAGGCAAUCUCGGAAGCAGGGUGCGGUCAAAUCUUUCAAAAAUACUUCCCACGGAGUAUUCAAACGGGCAAAAAUCGCUCGUAUCCGCUCACUUUGUCUUUGCAUGAAAACUCUGCGUGUUUCCGGGCAAAGAGGGGCAGCUAUGAGCACGUGAUUUUUUUCCUAUAUGAAUUACUCCCAUAAAUUCAAGAAAAAUAAAUUUUUCCCAUUAUUCACAAUUUCGUAGAUUUUAGUAGCAUUUUGUUAAUUGUUUUCAUUUGUCUGUACAUGUUUAAUUUUACUUAAUUCAUGAAAAUACAAAAAUAUAUUGCAUUUGCAUUUAGGAUUUAAUUUUACAUUUUUAGGUUAAUUAGCAAUUUAGUUGUCUUAUAAAAAUGAUUAAAAUCACAAAAAUAAUUCUUUUUUCAUAUGUAACUUUUCAUUUUGAAUUUUAUAGUUUUUCUUUUUAUUUAGGAUUUAAUUAAUUAUUGAAAAUACUAUGUUGAGUGAUUAGUUUAAUUUGGUAAGUUAUUUUAAUGUAAGAGUUAUUUUAGUUUAAUUUAAAAAAGGAAAAGAAAAAAAGAAGAAGAAGAAAGACAAUUGAAUUGAAAAGAAAGGAAAAUAAAAUAAAAGGGCUGAUUGAUUUUGGGCCACUGAUAUCGCAGCUCUAAUGAUUUCCCCUUCCAAACCCAUUCAGGUCGGCCCACUCUCCACCCCAAUACCCGGUCCAACCCCGCAAAUUCACACGGCAUUGUUCCGUGAAAUGAAAGAUCUGAGCCGUUGAUCUCUUUCAAUCCAACGGCCAAGGAACGCCCCUCUCCCUUUGUUAUAAUUGUCCAAACUUCAGAGAGUACCUCGUAUCUCUACACUUCAUCUCCUCAAUCUCUCUCAUCUCUAACCCUACACCCACCGCCCUGAAUUUCUUCACCAUCUCCAACCGGCAGUGGAGCUCAAACUACUACCAAAAUCUAAUCACAUAACCACCACUCAUCCCUGAGUCCCAAUCCACCACCACAUAUCCUCAAAUCCCUACCAAAUCGGGUCAGAUUCAAAUCUAAAAGAAGAAGAAGAAAAAGAAAAUCUCCCCAAGUUCUCAAGUUAAUGAUUAGGUCUAAAAUCGGUAUUGAUCGUCUGUUCUCAACGAGAACACGUGACUGAUGCCAAUUUCGAGUCAAAUUGAAGUCGCCUGAGGUUUGCCAAGCCUUGUCCAUGUGACCAUUUAGGUAUUUCUGUUCUUUUCUCCAUCUUCUCCAUCUUUUGUUUUGUUCUCGUCCUCGUCUCCUUCUGAUUCUUCUCUUUUCGUUCUUGUUUUACUACUUUAAAGUUGUUCUGAUUGCAUGAAUAGGAUCGAGUCAUUUCAGUGUAUAAUAUUUAGAUUAAGCUCUCUGAUUAAUAUUUGCUAGUUUUCUUUUAAUUUUUUUCCUUUUAUUAGUUCUGCUUCGUGUAAAGGUUUUGUGUCUAGAAUUCAGAAAUGGAAUCAUUUUGGUUUUCUUGGUUUGAUUGAAAAUUCAUUGUCCUAAAACUGAACUUGGGCUCGCUAAAUGCAAGAAGCCCAAAGAGUUGUUGAAGCUCGUUGUUACAGGGGGGCCAAAGGCAUUUGGGCAAUUUGGUUCAAAGUUUUAGUGUGAAAGUAAUUAGUGAGUCUUUUAGGUUUAUUUGGGAAAAUUUCAUAAGGGGAAUCUGAUCUAACUAACUAGGAAGUUUCCAAGAAAUUGGGGAAGGGACUGACUUAACAAAACAGAUUUUAAAUUGGGGGGCUGAAGGGAAUUAAUAAAAAUUGGGGAAGGGGUAAUUGAUAAAUUAGCAAAAUCAUUUCUGCUGCCCUAAAGCCAUCUAUAUAAGGUUUGCCUUCAGUAGAAUUAGGGGGAUUGGAACCUAAAAGUUCAGAAACGGCUGAAGAAAUACACGUUGAGAGAGACUGAAAUCAAAAAGAAAAAUACAAAAAAGGGUCACAGUUAUUGUUCCAUUGCAAUUGGUGUUUUCAUUUUUCUUGGACUUUAGAAGCUAGAUUGAAAUUGCUCCUUCUUCUUAGUCACGUGUGAUUGAAACUGUUUGAUUGUUGUUGUUUGCUGCUGUUUUAGAGCCUUGCUGACACUUCUAUUUUUUUUGUUGAAACUUGUGGUUGUUUGUUGUUUUCAGGUAUGUACAUGAGAUGAAGUAACAAGAACAGAUUUGUGACCUGUUGACAUAGAAUGGAAUUAUUUUCUUCACUAGAUUAAAUGUUUCUUUUCUAUUGAUAGUCAACACUGUAAAUAUGAUACUGUUUCAGCUUAGAUUUAGCACAGUUAACAUGAUCUAGUGUAGGUGUUUGGUUUAAGCAUUUGAGUCAUACUAGCUUAUUCGGGUGUUUAAUAUUUAACUACUAUUGAUUGUAACUAUUUGGGAUUGCUUUCUCAAGAGAUUGUUGGAUGUGGACUCAUGAGGUGGUACUGUUGAACGUAUUAAUAGGUUUAGCUACUAUUGAACAUGUUAGUGGUCUGAAUUUGUCUGUCCUUUAUAAAUUGUGCAGAUGGUUAAAUUGUAGUUGAUAGUGUUGUUCCUUUCAUAUGUGAAAUUGCUCUGUUGAAACCAGGUUGAGAUUGAUCAUUGAACCUGCAUAAUUUGGUUUGUUUUAGUUAUGCAUUCCUAUAGUAUUCUGUUUGUAUGAGGUUUUGGUACAUUUAAUAAAGAAUUUCAAAUUCAGCUUCAUGUCUUGUUUAACUACAGUAAUUGAUUAAAAUCAUGAUUAGCCAUGGAUAUUUAUAGCUGAUGCCACUCAUUUCAUGUUUGUCACAAUUUUGGGUUUAACAUGGGCAUCCAACAUACAACCUGUUAAAAUGGGCCCUUUGGGCCUGUUCUGUUUCUGUCGCCCUUGGCCUACUCCUGAGCCCCUUCACGUCUGGCUUAUCGAAUUGGGCCUGGACUGCUUGAGGCUAUAAGGCCUGCUGCUGGCCUUAGUCUCUCCAAAUAACCAAGCGAUCAGUUUCAGUUUAAUGCCAGCCCAUUAAGUAUUAAGUUUAGUUGAACAUUAGCUUUGAAAUAAAAAAUGCAAAUUCCCUUAGUCUUCUAGUUAAUUAAUCAGCUCUUUUUGAAUUUAGACUCGAGGUGUGCCAUGACAAAUAAAAUCUCAAAACUCAUUGCCCUCACUUAAUUAAUUUUAAACCUUUAGAAAUCGAGUUGUGCCAUUUAGUUGAAUUUUCCAUGGCCCUCGUAAACUUGAAAGUGCGUAGUUGCUUUAGGCGCGUUAUUUAAAUUAAUUUCCUUAAACUCGGGUUUGCAUUUCAUGUGACCCAACUCCAAUUCUCAACAACGCUAAAUAAAAUAUGUCGUGGACCGCUGGUGCAUUUCAUGUGACGUGUUUUAAAUAACGUUGAAUUUUCCUAAAAAUGAUUAAAGUGGUUAAUAAGUUAAAAUGCGCAUAGGUUCAAAAGUGUUUUAAAAUCAGAUAAUUAAGCCAAAAAAUAAUAGUUGAGCGACCGUGCUAGAACCACGGAACCCGGGAAUGCCUAACACCUUCUCCCGGGUUAAAAGAAUUCCUUAUUCGGAUUUCUGUGUUUCGCGGAUUGUAAAACAGAGUCAAUCUUUCCUCGAUUCGGAAUUUAAACCUGUGACUUGGGACACCAUAAAUUUUUCCAAGUGGCGACUCUGAAUAAUAAUAUAAUAAUCUCAUUUCGAUUGUCACUUUAAGUUGGAAAAAACUCCCUCACACCCUUCCAGGGGUAGAAAAAUGAGAUGUGACAUUUACGAUCCGUGAACACAGAAAUUCGGGUAAGGAAUUCUGUUAACCCGGGAGAAGGUUUUAGGCAUUCCCGAGUUUCAUGGUUCUAUCACGGUCGCUUUGAUCAUACUUGGCUUAAUCAAAUUGUUUAACUACUCGUUUUGGAACCUAUGUGCUUUCACCUCUUUUAAUUAAAAAAAAUAUCUUAAAACAGGUCACGCGUACAUGUACCCAUUUGUUUGGCACGUCAAAAAUCAUGUCACGCUAACGUGUCCACAAUUAAUAACGCUUUAUAAUUAUUUAGUCAAAGUUGCGCGAACGCAUACUCCGAUUCUGUUUUAAAAAAAUCGUAAUUAGGUCACGUGCACGUGUCCACAAUCACGAUGGUAGAUUAAAUCGCGCCUAAAGCAAGCUACGAAGUUUGGAAGUAUUAACGACCUAAAUAUGCUACUAUCGAUCCAAACAAAUAAAGAAAUUUUUCCUAAUGAGAGCCACAGGUAUAAGGCUUCUAUGGCGAAGGAAUUUAAAUUUACUAUAGAUCUCGAGCUAUCUGAAAACAGACACAUUAUACUUUUUUGUUCUUUGCUCCUAUCGGGUCAAAUAUUAGUUCAUUUGCACGACAGCCAACAAAAAAUCAAAGUAAAACUUCUGCUGAGAAAAAGCAUACCCAUAUAUUUACAUGGAAAGGGUCCUUUCUACUAGAGAUUUAAGCAGCUAACAUAAUAUACUUUGCAGAGACAUUUUUUGCAACAUAACACCUUUCUUAUGGCUUCAACAUAAUCACAAACACAAAUGCAGAACACUACAACAAAAUCAUUCAAACAAUCAUGUAAGAACAGAGAAAACCAACAAAUAAAGGGUAAGGUAGUGACAGACCUCAAAAAUAAUAAUCUUUGAAUCUAAAAAUGCUUAACAUCGAGAAACUUGGACAGUGAUAACCUCGACGGAACCCAAAUCUGUCCGGAAACCUUGUCGGCAACCUCAAACUCAAACCAUCAUCAACCUCGGCUAAUAUCGUUGGACCCGAACUCAAAACUCAUCUCUGAGAUUCUUAGAAUUCGAGCUUGCCGAAAUUUCGAUUGGAGAAGAAGAAGCAGUGGCGAUGUUCAGCCUCUAUUUUGUGGGUGUGCGUGUGCUGAUGUGGGGCUUUUCUUUAAAGGUCUGCGGCUGCUUGAAGAAGAUCAAAAAAAUGGGUGGGGCUCUUUUUUGAUGAAAUGGCGCUGCUUCUGAUUUUUUGGAAUCUAGGGUGUAUUUUUGUGUAUGCUUCUUAGAGAUGAAAUGGAAUUCAGGUGGGGAGUCAUUUUAGAUGUCACCGCUGCUUCUCUUUUUAGGGGUUUCUUUUGGUUAGUUCUUUAGGUUGUUUCGGAAGGAAAAGGAGUUUAGGUGGGGUCUGAAAUUGGAGGAAAAUGGCGGAUCCAUUCUUAGGUCUCUAGGUCCGUUUUUGUGUAUAUUUCGCUGAUAGAUCCUUAGGUCUAGGGGUUAGCUCCUUUUUAUAGGUUUAGGGUAUUAGAGUUAUAUUUAGGUUAAGGGGUAUAGGUCUAGGAAU